CAGGGCGUACAGGACCUUCAAGGUGGCAGCGAUGUCCUGAGAGACAAUAUCUGUCACAUGAGCCACAGGAAACAUUUAGAAUCCAUAUUGAAUCCAUACCGUACCAUCUCAGAGGGAUUGACAGGGGUCAGGUUGAAGUCACAGAGAGGGAUGAAGAAGCCUUCCAACUGCCCGAUCAGCAGCAGCAGAAUCACACCGUCAGAAAACUAGACGGAAAACACACAACACAUUGGAGACCAUCCAAGAAAGGUACUAAUGGAACAAGUAGACAACAGGCUGCACAUGUCCAGUUUCUCAGCAAGGUAACCAACUUAACUGCACCCUGCUGUUGUGUGGAA